CAUAGAUAUAUACACUAGAUGUCGCCUUGGCUACGGCAAACGAAUGCGUCAAUAGAGCCGCCAUCUUGGAACAGGGGAACCCCUCCACUUUAAUGCAUCAGCGUCAAUGUAGACAAAGGUCUAACAGAAAUAAAAUCACCAUAAAUCAUCAUGAAUGCGAUUUUCUCGUUUUUUUGGUUCGUUCCCACGGUCAGACAUGUAUUUACCAUUGAUUCCAGAA